rnacentral:rRNA from 1 species
AUUGAACGCUGGCGGCAUGCCUUACACAUGCAAGUCGAACGGUAACAGGUCUUCGGAUGCUGACGAGUGGCGAACGGGUGAGUAAUACAUCGGAACGUGCCCGAUCGUGGGGGAUAACGGAGCGAAAGCUUUGCUAAUACCGCAUACGAUCUACGGAUGAAAGCAGGGGACCGCAAGGCCUUGCGCGGACGGAGCGGCCGAUGGCAGAUUAGGUAGUUGGUGGGGUAAAAGCUUCCCAAGCCGACGAUCUGUAGCUGGUCUGAGAGGACGACCAGCCACACUGGGACUGAGACACGGCCCAGACUCCUACGGGAGGCAGCAGUGGGGAAUUUUGGACAAUGGGCGAAAGCCUGAUCCAGCCAUGCCGCGUGCAGGAUGAAGGCCUUCGGGUUGUAAACUGCUUUUGUACGGAACGAAAAGCCUCUUUCUAAUAAAGGGAGGUCAUGACGGUACCGUAAGAAUAAGCACCGGCUAACUACGUGCCAGCAGCCGCCGUAACAC